UUAUACAACCUCAACUCAUAUGGGACUACCCCCUGAAUUUAAGCAUAUUAAUUAGGGGAGGAAAAGAAACUAACAAGGAUUUUUUUAGUAGCGGCGAGCGAAAAGAAAUCAGUUCAGCACUAAGUCACUUUGUCUAUAUGGCAAAUGUGAGAUGCAGUGUAUGGAACAUCAAUUUUCUAGUAUGAGAAAUUAACGAUUUAAGUCCUUUUUAAAUGAGGCCAUUUACCCAUAGAGGUGCCAGGCCCGUAUAACGUUAAUGAUUACUAGAUGGUGUUUCCAAAGAGUCGUGUUGCUUGAUAGUGCAGCACUAAGUGGGUGGUAAACUCCAUCUAAAACUAAAUAUAACCAUGAGACCGAUAGUAAACAAGUACCGUGAGGGAAAGUUGAAAAGAACUCUGAAUAGAGAGUUAAAUAGUACGUGAAACUGCUUAGAGGUUAAGCCCGAUGAACCUGAAUAUCCGUUAUGGAAAAUUCAUCAUUAGAAUUGUAAUAUUUAAACAAUAUUAUAAUAAUAGUGUGCAUUUUUUCCAUAUAAGGACAUUGUAAUCUAUUAGCAUAUUUAAUUUAUCAUACAAUUAUGUCAUUUUGUUUAUUUCAAUUAGAAUGCUUGCGUUUUAACAUGAAAUAAAGGAUGUAAAUUUGAUAAAGUGCUGAUAGAUUUAUAUGAUUACAGUGCGUUAAUUUUUCGGAAUUAUAUAAUGGCAUGAUUAUCAUUGAUUUUUAUGUUUAUUAUAUGCACUUGUAUGAUUAACAAUGCGAAAGAUUCAGGAUACCUUCGGGACCCGUCUUGAAACACGGACCAAGGAGUCUAACAUAUGUGCAAGUUAUUGGGAUAUAAACCUAAUAGCGUAAUUAACUUGACUAUUAAUGGGAUUAGUUUUUUAACUAUUUAUAGUUAAUUAACACAAUCCCGGGGCGUUCUAUACAGUUAUGUAUAAUGGUAUUUAUAUUAUUUAUAUCUCUGAAUGGAACGUACCUUGAGCAUAUAUGCUGUGACCCGAAAGAUGGUGAACU
rnacentral:rRNA from 1 species